GUACAUCCACCCCAUUCUUGCACCUCUGUUUCCGCCAUUACCUAAAUCUAAUGCAGACUAUGACAUAAAUUGCCCUGAAUGUGUCAUACUCUUUAUUUCGUUUGCAUCAAAUUCAAACAUUAUUUGAUCAGACAAGAGUAUUUGUAAUGUCUAAGAAGGAUUUAUGAGUAUUAACACAUAAUGCAUAGCAUUCAAGUGGUUAACAAUUAUUAAGUUAUAACAAAUGCUAUAAAGUAAGAGAGAGACAAUCCACAUUUUUGUAGCUGUAAAACAAAAGAGGCAGACAUACAACUGGUCUACGUUGGAUGGCUUCGUUUCAACGGCUGAAUGUGUUUCUGUUGUUAAGAGUUCUCUUCUUCCAGAAAAAGGAUCCUUCUUCCUGUCCACGUUUUCUUUUUGACCACGAACACAUCCCUUGACCUUCUAGAACACCUCCAUUAUUGCUCCCUAUAAACCACCAUUCACCUCCCCCACUUCCACAACCGCCACCUACCAUCUCAAUACCUCCUCCUCAACAACCGCUCUCUAGCGUUGUAAGAGUUUUCAAAGGAGAAGCAAUAGGAAGAAGAAUGCCUCCUUUUAUCACAACAAUGGCCUCUCAAAAUGACCACCUUAAUCGCUCUCGAGGCAUUGGUCCACAAUCAGAUAUUAUCACCAUUGACGUUGGUGGCCAAAUCUUUCAGACCACAAAACAAACCUUAGCUCUAGCUGGACCCAAAUCUCUCUUCUCCCAAUUUGCUCAUCCUACUCAACUGGGUCUUGGUCCUCUGUUCAUCGACAGAGACCCUGAGUUGUUCUCUGUCCUACUCUCUCUUUUGAGAACUGGGAAUCUCCCUUCAAAGGCUAAAUCUUUUGAUCUUGAAGAUUUGAUUGCAGAAUCCAAAUUUUAUAAUAUCGAGUCUCUGUUAAUUAACUCUCUAUCGAAUCCUUGUCAAUUUGAUGCUUUCAACCUCGAAAAGUCGCAGACUUUGCCCUUGAACGGCCGCGAUUACACUUCCGCCAUGGCCACGACGUCAUUUGGGACCCUUCACGUCGCUCAUGGCAGCAAAAUAACGUCUUUCGAUUGGGCCUUGCGCAGGAAGUCAACGAUACUCACCCAGUUCACGGCGAUCGAUUCUCUCUUGGCCAUUAAACCAACUCUGGCAGCCGCGGGAGCCACCGAUUUCUCGGGAAUGCAAAUUCUCGAUCUGGAAAAGGGUUUUGUAAGGGAAACUUUGUGUUGGGAAAACGUGACCCAAUCGAGCUCCACAGUUCAGGCAAUUGGAUCGUCUCCAGAUUUCUUGUUCACAAGUUUUGAGUCAGGUCGCAGGAACUCUAACUCGAUCAUGGUUUACGAUUUGCAAUCAUUUUCGCCAGUAACCGAGAUUGCUCACUGCGAGAUAUACGGUGCAGAUCUUGACUCAGCCAUUCCAGCCACAAAAUUGAAGUGGGUAGAGAGCUAUAACGUGGUAAUGGCAUCUGGUUCACAUAGCGGACCCUCUGGUAUGUUGGGAAAUGUGAAAUUGUGGGAUAUAAGGUCUGGAAAUGUGAUUUGGGAACUGAAAGAGAGAGUUGAUUGUUUCUCUGAUAUUACUGUUUCAGAUAGUUUGUCAGCUAUCUUUAAAGUUGGUGUCAAUUCAGGAGAGGUCUUUUACACAGAUUUGAGGAAAUUGGGUGAUGGGGAUAGUAAUCCUUGGAUUUGCUUGGGCGAUAAGAGGAAAAUGCUGAAUGUCAAGAAAGAAGGAGUUGGGUGCAAGAUUGAGUCUUACGGGAAUCAAUUAUUUUGUAGUAAAGGAGGAGAUGUUGAGCUUUGGUCUGAGGUUGCCAUGAAUUCUUCCAAGAAAAGCGAAGAUGGGUUGCCAAAUAGGGUCUUCAAGAGGAAUUUGAUGGGGAGAGCAAAAGAUAUGGGAGGAUCAAGAAUAACCAACUUGGCUUUUGGGGGAAGCAAGAUGUUUGUAACAAGGAAGGAUCAGCAAUCUGUUGAGGUUUGGCAAAGUUCUGUAAGGGGGUUAUAGAUUUUGAAAAUGCUUGAUUAGGAAUGAAUACUUGUUGAAAGUUGGGCUCUAUUUAUUGUAGUUCUUAGCUUGAUUCAUACAAUUGUAAAUGUUCAUGUAUAUUAUCAAAAUUAUACUGUGACUAGCUAUCUAAUUGUUUUGAGAUCAAUUGUUUUCCCCUGUUUUCUGAUUGCUAUUUAUGUGGAUAAUCAUCAAGGAGAAGGUGUUAAACCUCAGCUUUUUGGUUUAUACAUUUCAUCCUUUGCAAUGAACUGGUACAUGUAUAUUUCUUUCAUCCAAGGUGUUUAAUUUGCAUGUUCUACUUCUAUUACUGUGCUAUGUUUCUAUGAACAGGUUAAAAAUCUGUAGGAAGGUGGAAUGUUUCUGUCAGGUUGAAAGAUAAUUAUACUUGCAUUCAUAUUUGACAUUAGCCAACUUGCUGGUCCAAGGAGCUGUAGUCCAGUAAAAGCAACGGGAGUUUGAAGACACCGUGUGAAGUGGUUGGAAGCGCAAGCCAACCUCAUCUUGAAAAUUUGGAUGGAGGCAAGUAGUGAAGAAGUCUGAUAAUGAAGUUUUGAGUAUUUUAUGUUACAGAUUGAAGUCGAGAAACGAUGACAAAACAACUCAAGGUUGGUGGUAUUGCAUCUUUUUUCAAACCCCAUUCAUUUAUUUGUAAAUGGGUGGUUGAAGCACACAUCUCUUGAGGCUCAACAUAAAUUUGAGUGGAAAUGAUGAAACUAAACAUGGAUGGUUCCAGUACCAGUUAUUUGAGCCUGGGGUUUAGCUGAGCUGCUUCUUCAAGACGGUGACAGCAUUUAAUUUUUAGCUAUGAAAGAGAAUAUGUCCAAUAUUGUCUGCGAUUUUAAUAGUAGAGGCCCAUAGAGGCUGGCCCUGGCCAUUUCUUGUCAGUUGAAAACUUCAUGGGUGUAGACAAGGGCAUUGAAAAAGCUCGGGACAAUUUGUUAAAAAUAUACGAAGAAAAGUUCACGACACCAAUAUCUAAGGCAAGCAAUGUGGGGUUUGCCCUCUAAUCACAUCGUCCUUGUACAGAAGAGUGUACUCUAUUUUUGGACCAAUUAAUAUUUGAGUAAGAAAGUGUGGGUCAAUUAAUUAACAAUUCUCUUAUAUUUAUUUUGAAAAAUAAUUUUUAAAAAAAA
rnacentral:misc_RNA from 1 species